UACGGGGGGGGCAAGCGUUGUUCGGAAUUACUGGGCGUAAAGGGCUCGUAGGCGGCCAACUAAGUCGGAUGUGAAAUCCCCAGGCUUAACCUGGGAACUGCAUCCGAUACUGGAUGGCUUGAAUCCGGGAGAGGGAUGCAGAAUUCCAGGUGUAGCGGUGAAAUGCGUAGAUAUCAGGAGGAACACCGGUGGCGAAGGCGGUUCUCUGGGCAUGAUCUGACGCUGAGGAGCGAAAGUGUGGGGAGCGAACAGG
rnacentral:rRNA from 1 species